AAGACGUAGGUCAUGUACUCACUGCAUAAAAUAAAUUAGAUAAAUGCAACAAGUCAUUACACUCCAGGUCCAGGUCUCCAACAAAAUGAAAGUUCAAAGGCACUAUUACAAAUUGAUUAACAUAACAAAACCAAAUCCUGAGUCAUCCAAAGUUAUCAUUUGACAAGAAAUGCAUUAAAAGCAUGAACCCACUCUUUCCACAUUAAUUCCAAGAGACUUCUAUUCUAAGUCAAAAAUCACAAAUCUGGAACAUUCACAAUAUACAACAAUGAUCAAAGACACAAAGAGUGUCCAAUGAAGAGUAACUCUUCCAUGCCAGGAAUGAUUAAACACUAAAAUGCCAUUGCCACAAGUCUAAAUUAAAAGAUUCUG
rnacentral:misc_RNA from 1 species